rnacentral:rRNA from 1 species
UACGUCGGGGGCAAGCGUUGUCCGGACUCAUUGGGCGUAAAGAGCGUGUAGGCGGCCCGAUAAGUCCGCCGUGAAAGUCCAGGGCUCAACCCUGGAAUGCCGGUGGAAACUGUCGGGCUGGAGUCCGGAAGAGGCGAGUGGAAUUCCUGGUGUAGCGGUGAAAUGCGCAGAUAUCAGGAGGAACACCAAUGGCGAAGGCAGCUCGCUGGGACGGUACUGACGCUGAGACGCGAAAGCGUGGGGAGCGAACAGG